UGGCUCUGUUGGUAGAGCAUGGUGUUUGCAAUGCCAGGGUUGUGGGUUCGAUUCCCAC
rfam:Salmo salar isolate Sally breed double haploid chromosome ssa14, whole genome shotgun sequence.